CCUACGGGAGGCAGCAGUGGGGAAUUUUGGACAAUGGGCGCAAGCCUGAUCCAGCCAUGCCGCGUGCGGGAAGAAGGCCUUCGGGUUGUAAACCGCUUUUGCCAGGGAAGAAAAGGUUCUGGCUAAUACCUGGGACUCAUGACGGUACCUGAAGAAUAAGCACCGGCUAACUACGUGCCAGCAGCCGCGGUAAUACGUAGGGUGCAAGCGUUAAUCGGAAUUACUGGGCGUAAAGCGUGCGCAGGCGGUUAUGCAAGACAGAGGUGAAAUCCCCGGGCUCAACCUGGGAACUGCCUUUGUGACUGCAUAGCUAGAGUACGGUAGAGGGGGAUGGAAUUCCGCGUGUAGCAGUGAAAUGCGUAGAUAUGCGGAGGAACACCGAUGGCGAAGGCAAUCCCCUGGACCUGUACUGACGCUCAUGCACGAAAGCGUGGGGAGCAAACAGGAUUAGAUACCCUGGUAGUCCACGCCCUAAACGAUGUCAACUGGUUGUUGGGAGGGUUUCUUCUCAGUAACGUAGCUAACGCGUGAAGUUGACCGCCUGGGGAGUACGGCCGCAAGGUUGAAACUCAAAGGAUUGACGG
rnacentral:rRNA from 1 species